UAUAUACUCCCUCCGUUCGGAAUUACUUGUCUCAGAAAUGGAUGUAUCUAGAACUAAAAUAAGUCUAGAUACAUCCAUUUUUGCGACAAGUAAUUCCGAACGGAGGGAGUACAAG
rnacentral:pre_miRNA from 1 species